AGGACGAACGCUGGCGGCACGCUUAACACAUGCAAGUCGAACGGAGUUUAAGGAGCUUGCUUUUAAACUUAGUGGCGGACGGGUGAGUAACACGUGAGCAAUCUGCCUUCAGAGGGGGAUAGCAGUUGGAAACGACUGAUAAUACCGCAUAACAUAGCGAAACCGCAUGAUUUUUGCUAUCAAAGAUUUAUCGCUGAAAGAUGAGCUCGCGUCUGAUUAGGUAGUUGGUGAGGUAACGGCUCACCAAGCCGACGAUCAGUAGCCGGACUGAGAGGUUGAACGGCCACAUUGGGACUGAGACACGGCCCAGACUCCUACGGGAGGCAGCAGUGGGGAAUAUUGCACAAUGGGCGCAAGCCUGAUGCAGCCGAUGCCGCGUGAGGGAAGAAGGUUUUAGGAUUGUAAACUGUUGUCCUCUGUGACGAUAAUGACGGUAGCAGAGGAGGAAGCCACGGCUAACUACGUGCCAGCAGCCGC
rnacentral:rRNA from 1 species